rnacentral:lncRNA from 1 species
GUGGAGCUUGGAUUCGAUGAAAACGGAGUUGGAGAGAGAAAUGGAGUAGCGGUAGAAGGGCAGCAAGGGUGAGCCGUCGGAGGUGGUUAGGGUGGUGAGGAAGAGGAGGAAGAGAGAGACGAUGGAGCCAAUUGCGAGAGGUAAGAUCCAUUUGAGCUCCAUUGUCUUCUGCUGUUGGUGCCUCAGAUGCAUGUAGUAGCUUUUCAGCUUCUUCAUAUUCAAUUAUUGCUCGGAGCUCCGAAUCGGAAAACUGGGUC